rnacentral:rRNA from 1 species
GCCGUGUGAACUGCAGGACAUACGAACAUCGACAUUUUGAAUGCAUAUUGCGGAUUUGAGCUUGUCUCAAAUCCAUACCUGGCUCAGGGUCGGUUUAACAUCCAUCAGCCUCGCCUUUGUGAGUCUGUAUAGGGCAGAUGUUUUGCCACUGGCAGAGCGGUGCCUCAAGUUUUGUCGUGCAGAUUCCACCGACUCGACUCUUGGGAGAGAUCCUGGGUUGUUGUCGAUGACUGCAUGUGCAUGGUGCCUUGGCUGUUGAAUGGCCYUUGUGUGCACCUCCCAUUACACUUUCGACCUGAGAUUAGGUAAGAUUACCCGCCGAAUUUAAGCAUAUUAAUAAGCGGAGGAAAAGAAAACAACUGUGAUUCCCUUAGUAAUGGCGAAUGAAACGGGAUCAGCCCAGCGCAGAACUGCAGGUCACCUUGGCCUUGCGGAAUGUUGCGUUCGGGAGAGUCUUCUCGAGGACUGGACGGCCAGUCAAAGUCCAACYUGACUGUGGCCA